rfam:Sphingomonas sp. Root241 contig_1, whole genome shotgun sequence.
CCUGGUGGCUAUGGCGUCUGUGAACCACCCGAUCCCAUCCCGAACUCGGCCGUGAAACCAGACAGCGCCGAUGGCAGCGCCGAUGGUACUAUCGCUCAAGCGAUGGAAGAGUAGGUCGUCGCCAGGC